UUAUGAUUUAAACUUAAUAGUAUUGCAGCCUAUAAUAGAGCUCUAGAUAAGAGCU
rnacentral:rRNA from 1 species